GUUUUUCCAUGCUGAGUAAUGAGAGGACAUUGCUCCAUUUUUCCUGUUUUCUACUCCAGAAUCAGAAGUAGGUUGGAUGAGCUACUACCAACAGCAACAUAAGAUGGAUUAUGCUGCUUCUGGAAACCAUAGCCAGUAUCUGAAAUGGCAGAGAUGUUUCAAUUUUUUGACAUGUAUGGGAUGCUACUCUACAUUAUCUACCUAUUGCCGAUAACACAGAUUAUAUAUACACAGUUUACAUUCUGGCUCUUUGCCAGUGCAUUGGCUGGCAGAUUUCUCCAAGGUCUCAGACCUGAAAAAGCAUGGAUAAAGACAUACGACAAUUUUGUUUGUUCUUUCUGUGUCAACUUCCUUGCAAAGAGCUUGACAUGGAUGUAGGAGAAAGCAAAUGAAUGCUGAAAAAGACAAACAACAGCAACAACAACAACAACAACCUAAGCAUACUCAUCUACCUGAAGCCAGGAAGAAAUUUCAGUAUUUCCACAUUGCUUUACCCUAGAUUAUAGUUUUUCCACCUUUGUUCCAUUUUUUUAACAGAAUUGGACAAGAAAAAUAUAACUAAAUUAAACUGGAUUGUAACUGUUGACUACAAGCCAAUAUUGCAUGUGGCAUGUUUAAGCCAACUGAAAUUAAGCCAACCAUAACGUUAUCAAAGGAUAAGAUUGUUGCUUCUAAGUUUACACAUGCUUGUUUCAUUCUUCUUGAAAUCCAGCCUUGCACAGUCAUCUGCCAGCACUGAGCUUAACUGUACUUAUUCACUUUGUGUUCUUCCCCACACAUGUGUCAGUACUUCCAAGCAGUGGUCCCAUUAGGAAAAGUUAAGUUUGUUGUGGCAAAGCCGUUGGCUUUAAAAUCACUUUGUUCUUUUAUCUGCCAAAACACCAAGACACACACACCCCUUGUCACAUUAGGGUGGACGGGGUUGAUUUAUCACAACUUAAUUGGUUCACUCAACACAUGUGGGCCCUACAUGGGUCACAUUAAGUUUACAAGAGCACAUUGGUGGUUUAUGGGUACCUCAUGCUAACCCAAGACUGGCUAAAUAAUGUCUUGUUUCCUACCUAAUGACAUCUGUUUGUUAUUUCUAAGCUGUAUCUCAGCUCCUUUUGAUUUUUCCCAAAUGGGUUUCUGCUUCCCAACUGCUAAUAAAUGACACCGCUAUUUAUUACACUGAACACUUCUUUCUUCCCGUCCCCCUUGUACACUUCAAUGCAUUUUUUGGGGUGUUCUUGUUUAGCUUGCUUGUAUUUAAGAAUUUAUAAUGCACAGCCAAGAAGGCUAUUUACUCAAGGACUACUUUAUUCAGAAACAUGGAAUCAUAACCAGAAAAGAGGAAUAGGAAGAGAAAAGAGAAAGGAAAGGAAAGAACUAGUUAUGCCUUUGCACUUACGCGCAAUAGCCAUUCCUGGCUGAAAUAGGUAACAAUUCAAAGACGAGAUUAAAAAGAUGGGCCUCUAGACAUGUUUUUCUGGUGAAAGAAGUAACAUCGCCUGAGGAUCCUAGAGAGGAA